rnacentral:rRNA from 1 species
CAUGCAAGUCGAACGGAAAGGCCCUUCGGGGUACUCGAGUGGCGAACGGGUGAGUAACACGUGGAUGAUCUGCCCUGCACUUUGGGAUAAGCCUGGGAAACUGGGUCUAAUACCGAAUAGGACCGCAUGCUUCAUGGUGUGUGGUGGAAAGCUUUUGCGGUGUGGGAUGGGCCCGCGGCCUAUCAGCUUGUUGGUGAGGUAAUGGCUUACCAAGGCGACGACGGGUAGCCGGCCUGAGAGGGUGUCCGGCCACACUGGGACUGAGAUACGGCCCAGACUCCUACGGGAGGCAGCGGUGGGGAAUAUUGCACAAUGGGCGCAAGCCUGAUGCAGCGACGCCGCGUGAGGGAUGACGGCCUUCGGGUUGUAAACCUCUUUCAGUAGGGACGAAGCGCAAGUGACGGUACCUGGAGAAGAAGCACCGGCCAACUACGUGCCAGCAGCCGCGGUAAUACGUAGGGUGCGAGCGUUGUCCGGAAUUACCGGGCGUAAAGAGCUCGUAGGUGGUUUGUCGCGUUGUUCGUGAAAACUCACA